rnacentral:rRNA from 1 species
UGGGGAAUAUUGGACAAUGGGCGAAAGCCUGAUCCAGCCAUGCCGCGUGUGUGAAGAAGGUCUUCGGAUUGUAAAGCACUUUAAGUUGGGAGGAAGGGCAGUAAGCGAAUACCUUGCUGUUUUGACGUUACCGACAGAAUAAGCACCGGCUAACUCUGUGCCAGCAGCCGCGGUAAUACAGAGGGUGCAAGCGUUAAUCGGAAUUACUGGGCGUAAAGCGCGCGUAGGUGGUUCGUUAAGUUGAAUGUGAAAGCCCCGGGCUCAACCUGGGAACUGCAUCCAAAACUGGCGGGCUAGAGUAGGGCAGAGGGUGGUGGAAUUUCAUGUGUAGCGGUGAAAUGCGUAGAUAUAGGAAGGAACACCAGUGGCGAAGGCGACCACCUGGGCUCAUACUGACGCUGAGGUGCGAAAGCGUGGGGAGCAAACAGG